AGCGGGAUAGAGCAGAGGCAGCUCAGCAGGCUCAUAACCUGAAGGUCAAUGGUUCGAAUCCAUUUCCCGCUA
rnacentral:tRNA from 1 species